GCAUUAAUGGGGUAGUGGUAACCUGGGUCGUUGCCAAUCUCGAAUCUCGUCGAGUGAUGAGUUCGACCCGCCGGGGGUUCGAUUCCCUCUUAAUGCA